rnacentral:rRNA from 1 species
GUCGAACGGCAGCACGGAGAGCUUGCUCUCUGGUGGCGAGUGGCGAACGGGUGAGUAAUAUAUCGGAACGUGUCCAAUAAUGGGGGAUAACGAGUCGAAAGAUUCGCUAAUACCGCAUACGCCCUACGGGGGAAAGCAGGGGAUCGUAAGACCUUGCGUUAAUGGAGCGGCCGAUAUCUGAUUAGCUAGUUGGUGAGGUAAAGGCUCACCAAGGCGACGAUCAGUAGCUGGUUUGAGAGAACGACCAGCCACACUGGAACUGAGACACGGUCCAGACUCCUACGGGAGGCAGCAGUGGGGAAUUUUGGACAAUGGGGGCAACCCUGAUCCAGCCAUUCCGCGUGAGUGAAGAAGGCCUUCGGGUUGUAAAGCUCUUUCGCAAGGGAAGAAAACUUAUGAUCGAAUAAAUCAUGAGGUUGACGGUACCUUGAUAAGAAGCACCGGCUAACUACGUGCCAGCAGCCGCGGUAAUACGUAGGGUGCGAGCGUUAAUCGGAAUUACUGGGCGUAAAGCGUGCGCAGGCGGUUUUGUAAGUCGGAUGUGAAAUCCCCGGGCUCAACCUGGGAACUGCGUUCGAAACUGCAAGGCUAGAGUGUGUCAGAGGGGGGUAGAAUUCCCGUGUAGCAGUGAAAUGCGUAGAGAUGUGGAGGAAUACCAAUGGCGAAGGCAGCCCCCUGGGAUAACACUGACGCUCAUGCACGAAAGCGUGGGGAGCAAACAGGAUUAGAUACCCUGGUAGUCCACGCCCU